rnacentral:rRNA from 1 species
CCAAGAAGUCCAACACGUGCGCAAGUCAUUGGGUGUAACGAAACCUAAAGGCGCAAUGAAGGUGAGAAGGCGAGAUCCCAACCUAUAUAAAGGCGGGGCGCAUCGCCGGCCCGUCUGCGGAGGCGGAGCAAGAGCGCACUUGUUGGGACCCGAAAGAUGGUGAACUAUGCCUGAGCAGGACGAAGCCAGAGGAAACUCUGGUGGAAGUCCGCAGCGAUUCUGACGUGCAAAUCGAUCGUCAAACUUGGGUAUAGGGGCGAAAGACUAAUCGAACCAUCUAGUAGCUGGUUCCCUCCGAAGUUUCCCUCAGGAUAGCUGGCGCUCUGUAUUAAGCAGUUUUAUCCGGUAAAGCGAAUGAUUAGAGGCCUUGGGGACGAAACGUGCUCAACCUAUUCUCAAACUUUAAAUGGGUAAGCAGCCGGACUCGCUCGAUUGGAGUCCGGUGCGAAAUGCGAGUGCCUAGUGGGCCACUUUUG